CAGUCAAGAAUAUUAGUCAAUGCUCGCAAGAGUGAACUAGCUAACUGAAAUCAAAAAAAGGUUGACCCUAUUUUUUGAUAACGUAAGGGAAAAUAAUGAUAUUACCUUACUAAUAGUGUCGUCCAAAACUGGUGCCAGAAGACUCGGUAAGGCCAGAGACGCAAACGUUAAUCGUCUUAAUCAGGCGUAAAGGGUGUGUAGGCGGCUUUGAAAUUUUACUUUUUUUAAUAGCACUUUUUAAUUUUUCAUUAAAUUAAAAAAUAAAAAAAGUGAAGCAAUCAAAGCUAGAAUCAAAUAGAGGAUAUAUUAAAUAAUACUUAGAGUAUAGGUCUGAUAUCCAUAGAUACUAAGGGGAAUAUUAAUAGUGAAAGCUUUUUUUCUACUAAUGAUUGACGCUGAGAAACGAAGGUGAGGAUAGGAAAUAGGAUUAGAUACCCAAAAUACCCCUCUCUGUCAACGAUGAAUGGUGGUCACUAGUCUAAAUUAGUGGCGAUGUUAACACGAUAACCAUUCCGCCUUGUGAGUACCGACUGCAAAGUUGAAAACAAAAAAAUUAGUCGGUUUCGAAGCAAACGGAUUGAAGCAUGUUAUUUAAUUCGAU
rnacentral:rRNA from 1 species